CUCAGGAGAAGGAACUCGGCAAAUUGACACCGUAACUUCGGAAGAAGGUGUGCCCUGGUAGGCUGUAGCCGUACAGGCGAAGGCCGAAGGGGUUGCAAAAGAUCGGUGGCUGCGACUGUUUAAUAAAAACACAGCACUCUGCAAACACGAUGAGUGGACGUAUAGGGUGUGACGCCUGCCCGGUGCCGGAAGGUUAAAUGAUGGGGUGCGAGCUCUUGAUUGAAGCCCCGGUAAACGGCGGCCGUAACGAUAACGGUCCUAAGGUAGCGAAAUUCCUUGUCGGGUAAGUUCCGACCUGCACGAAUGGCGUAACGAUGGCCACACUGUCUCCUCCUGAGACUCAGCGAAGUUGAAAUGUUUGUGAUGAUGCAAUCUACCCGCGGCUAGACGGAAAGACCCCGUGCACCUUUACUGUAGCUUUGCAUUGGACUGUGAUGGGAUCUGUGUAGGAUAGGUGGGAGGCUUUGAAGUGGGGGCGCUAGCUCUCAUGGAGCCGACGUUGAAAUACCACCCUGAUGUCAUUGCGGUUCUAACCUUGGCCCCUAUAGCGGGGUUGGGGACAGUGCAUGGUAGGCAGUUUGACUGGGGCGGUCUCCUCCCAAAGAGUAACGGAGGAGCUCGAAGGUACGCUAGGUACGGUCGGACAUCGUGCUGAUAGUGCAAUGGCACAAGCGUGCUUGACUGCGAGACUGACAAGUCGGGCAGGUGCGAAAGCAGGACAUAGUGAUCCGGUGGUUCUGAAUGGAAGGGCCAUCGUUCAACGGAUAAAAGGUACGCCGGGGAUAACAGGCUGAUUCCUCCCAAGAGUUCAUAUCGACGGGGGAGUUUGGCACCUCGAUGUCGGCUCAUCACAUCCUGGGGCUGUAGCCGGUCCCAAGGGUAUGGCUGUUCGCCAUUUAAAGUGGUACGUGAGCUGGGUUUAAAACGUCGUGAGACAGUUUGGUCCCUAUCUGCCGUGGGCGUUGGACGUUUGAGGGGGGCUGCUCCUAGUACGAGAGGACCGGAGUGGACGAAUCUCUGGUGUACCGGUUAUCACGCCAGUGGUAUUGCCGGGUAGCUAAAUUCGGAAGAGAUAAGCGCUGAAAGCAUCUAAGCGCGAAACUUGCCUCAAGAUGAGACGUCCCGUGAUGUAAGUCACCUAAAGGGUCGCGGUAGACCACCGCGUUGAUAGGUCGGGUGUGGAAGCGCAGUAAUGCGUUAAGCUAACCGAUACUAAUUGCCCGUGCGACUUGAUCCG
rnacentral:rRNA from 1 species